UACGUAGGGGCCAAGCGUUGUCCGGAUUUAUUGGGCGUAAAGAGCUCGUAGGCGGUUCGGCAAGUCAGCUGUGAAAUCUCCACGCUCAACGUGGAGGGGUCAGCUGAUACUGCUGUGACUUGAGUCCGGUAGGGGAGUGUGGAAUUCCCGGUGUAGCGGUGAAAUGCGUAGAUAUCGAGAGGAACACCUGCGGCGAAGGCGGGUUGCUGGGCUGACACUGACGCUGAUGCGCGAAAGCCAGGGGAGCGAACGGG
rnacentral:rRNA from 1 species